AGACACCAGAAGGAUGAAGACAAACGUUCCUACAUGGCAGUGGGGAUGCUGUAGGUGCUUCUGCAUAGAGUUGGAUCCAUACUGCAUCACAGCAUGGUAGGUUAAGCUGGCCACACCCAUUACUGCAGUGAGGAAGGAUGAGGAGCAGGAGCAAGGCAGAGGGAUGAGAUGAGAGGCGUGUGCAGGAAUUCAGGCAGGCUGCAACAAGCAGCAGGAAGCACGUGGAUGGCUCUUGGCAACUACCUCCGUGGGACUCAGCAUCAGUACCCGGCAAUAUCAGUCAAACCCCCACACAUCUGUAUGAGCAGCUGGACGUCUGCCCUGUUUUUGUGCAAUUUGUUCGCACAAAAGGAUUAUUCCAUUUGGGCUGAUAAAGGUGAUAUUUCCAGAAACAAUUAUGUCAUCUUUCCUUCAAUGCGAUCUUUGUGCUUCCAGGUAGGUACUGCAGAGGUUGAGUUCUUGACAAAUAGCUGAGGUUCUUUCUUCAUUCCUCUCAAUCUGCAACUACAUCACUUCUCUUCAAGGGCCAUAGAAGAAAUAGGGAAGAGAGGAACUCAUGUUUUCUAGGAUGUCACCUGAAAUUUUGACAAUACUAGUAAUACCCUAUCUCAGCACAGUACCACCUUAUCAAUAUGCUAAGAAAGUUAUGAGCUUGCAAAUGGUUGGUUUGAGGCAGCCAGGUAUUGUCUGGCAACAAUCUUACAAGUUUAGGACAAAGAUGAUGUAGUGGCUUUUAGGUAGUAAGUAGUCAGGAAUAUUAGCUCUCCAAGGCCAGAAAGGCCCAGCUCCAAGACUUGGCCCACUUCAUCACCUUUUGGAUGUGAAACUGGCAAGUUAUCCAUAUCCUUUAUGACUCCAUAGCAUAAGGAUAAUGAUACCUUUCUCACGUGAUUAUUGCCUAGAUUAAAUGAUCAAGGUAAAUAAAACCUUCUAUUAUAGGCUAUUUGUAACUUUG
rnacentral:lncRNA from 1 species